UACACAGUUGAAGGAAGGCAGAAAGCGCUGGGAGAGGAGUGAAAAGCGAGGGGUUGCCCACUCUUUUGCCAAGUGAACCUCCGGAAAAAUGAGAAAAUUGAGAAUUUUUUCCCCCAAGCUUUUCCCAACAAACUCAGAGGGUAUUUUCCAAAAAUGUUUUUGUCUUCCUAUAUAGCCUACUCGAUUUCUGGCCGAUUUCCCGGCUAUUUUGUCAUUUUUCCUGACGAGUGAAAUUAGUUAAGUGUAUUUAAUUACACCGAGGUGUUGGCACAUUCUUUUUCCGUGGUUUCCAAGUUAAGUAGAUGACCGAAACAAAAUAUUUCUGAUAAUUAGUAAACAUAAUGUGGUUGAUCUUGAACGGAUCGCGAAAAGCGGAUAUUGCAUCGCGGACCAGAGCGGGAAGAAAAGAAACGGAUGCGGAGCGAUCUUAGACGGUAAGGAUCAGUGCAGUUUCGUAUUUGUUUUGAUAAAAAGAAAUAUAAACUAAAACUAAAAACGAUUAUCCUGUUGAUUGAACUCCAAAUACGGAUAUCAACUUGAAAACGUCACAGAGCUGAAGUUGACACUCGUAAAUCGUAUCACGAUUGCAUCAUUAUUGAAAUAAUUCCAAUAAAGAGGUGAGAUAUUCUUAAUGAAAUUUUCCCUUAUCUUCUGUGUCUUGACAUUCACGGCUCACAGGGGGCACGGCGAUUGAAAAGAUAAAUAACUCCGAUAUAACCAAUGUCGCAAUGAAAGGCUGAUCAAUCCCAAUUCAAGGGGGCAUCAAUUGCUUUCCUUGUGUGCAGUACUAUAUAUCUCAUAUCAAUAGAUAGCAAUCAUUCUUAUCUGCAGAAGAAGAUCUACAAAUAAGUGGCAUCUUUAAUGUUGGAGAUAUCAAACAAGAGUUGGAGAUUUUCGUACUGGAUGCGUGCUCCUUUUGCUAAUUAUAAAUUUAUCAUUCGUUGGACACAAAGUAGUAGAGACGAUGAAUUUUAAGUUGAUAACGGGUUUUCUUCUGAUUGGGAUUUUGGGUUCGAUCGGUCGUACUAAUGGAGUAGCGCUGAUGACCCGUAUUCAAAUGGCAAAAACUUCAUUGGAGGAAUAUUUGGAACAAUGCUGGAAUGAUUUUGUCGAUUUAAUGGACAACGGAAUUCCUGGCCUCAAUAUCCCGACGUUUGAUCCAUGGUUCUCUAACGACAGUUUCCCAUUCCGGAUGCAAGAUAGCGAUAUCGUUCUUCGUGCAGAUGUCAAUGCUACGAACGUUACGUCGCUUGGCUUUUCUUCAGUGGAGAUUCCAGCAGUGUAUGACAAUGGAAACGGGCACUUUAACAUUUCCCUGACUCUGUCAGACCUAAAAAUUAAUGGCCUCUACUCAGUCGUGGGUAGCCACCAUUAUUUUUAUCCUAUUGUCGGGAAUGGACCAUUUGAUAUGAUGAUGAUGGAUGUUUACUCAAGCGGGACUGCAACUCUCAUGUAUAAUGGUACGGUUUAUAGUUUGACUAAGUUGGAAUUAACUCCGCUUUUGUACGGAUCGGCAACUGCCGAAUUCUUCAGUCUAUCGAUUUCCGGUACAGAUAGUACAUCCGUAACCUACACCCAAAUCGUUAAUUUGAUGACGGAACUAUUGUGGUUUCAAGUAGAAGAAGAGCUUCGCCUACAGUUAAGCGUGUCGAUAACUGAAUACCUGAACAACCAGCUCUUGGAAUUCAAACCAAGCAGUUUCCUUCAAAAACAAAAAUCUUAAAUAAAUGUUAUCUGCACCGUGAAGUGAAAGACAGGAGAAACAACGACGUACUAAGAGUUUGAUAUCAUGCUUCAGCAUAUCAGAUUUUGGUCUGUUAGCCUAUUCCGUUGUUUCUCCUGUCAUUCUUCUUCAUGUCUGCACUUUUCUCGAAGCAUCAACUUACGAUUUACUUAUAUUCAAAUUUGGGUCUUAUUAUAACUGUUUUUUGUGGAAAAUUUUAUUCAUAUGGUACGCAUGAAAAUCUAAAGAAUAAAUAGCAGAAACUAAACGAA
rnacentral:misc_RNA from 1 species